GGCAACUUGGCCGAGCGGUCUAAGGCGCCACGUUAAGGUCCACACCCUUAAUAACUAUCUUGACUUGCAAGAUUCCGUGGUCCGAAAGGGCGUGAGUUCGAAUCUCACAGUUGUCA